rnacentral:rRNA from 1 species
UUGCUACCCGCUGACGAGCGGCGGACGGGUGAGUAAUGCAUAGGAAUUUACCCGGUAGUGGGGGAUAACCUGGGGAAACCCAGGCUAAUACCGCAUACGUCCUACGGGAGAAAGGGGGCCUUGGCUCCCGCUAUCGGAUGAGCCUAUGCCGGAUUAGCUGGUUGGUGAGGUAAUGGCUCACCAAGGCGACGAUCCGUAGCUGGUCUGAGAGGAUGAUCAGCCACAUCGGGACUGAGACACGGCCCGAACUCCUACGGGAGGCAGCAGUGGGGAAUAUUGGACAAUGGGCGCAAGCCUGAUCCAGCCAUGCCGCGUGUGUGAAGAAAGCCCUCGGGUUGUAAAGCACUUUCAGCGAGGAAGAACGCCUGGCGGUUAAUACCCGCCAGGAAAGACAUCACUCGCAGAAGAAGCACCGGCUAACUCCGUGCCAGC